GGGUCAGUAGGUUGGUCGUGCCACCGGUACGUACUGGUCUCACUGAUUCCUCCUUCCUGAAGAACCGUUAUGCCAUUAAUUUGGUGUUGCGGGGAAACAGGACUGUUACUUUGAAAAAAUUAGAGUUUUUAAAGCAAGCUAACGCUUGAAUACAUUAGCAUGGAAUAAUGAAAUAGGACGAUCGAUCCUAUUUUGUUGGUUUCUAGGAUUGACGUA
rnacentral:rRNA from 1 species